GCCUUCGUGGUGUAGUGGUCAGCACGCUCGACGCGUAUUCGAGAGGUCCAUGGUUCGAUUCCCGGCGAGGGCA
rnacentral:tRNA from 1 species